GGACGGGUGAGUAAUGUCUGGGGAUCUGCCCGAUAGAGGGGGAUAACCACUGGAAACGGUGGCUAAUACCGCAUAACGUCGCAAGACCAAAGAGGGGGACCUUCGGGCCUCUCACUAUCGGAUGAACCCAGAUGGGAUUAGCUAGUAGGCGGGGUAACGGCCCACCUAGGCGACGAUCCCUAGCUGGUCUGAGAGGAUGACCAGCCACACUGGAACUGAGACACGGUCCAGACUCCUACGGGAGGCAGCAGUGGGGAAUAUUGCACAAUGGGCGCAAGCCUGAUGCAGCCAUGCCGCGUGUAUGAAGAAGGCCUUCGGGUUGUAAAGUACUUUCAGCGGGGAGGAAGGCAAUGAGGUUAAUAACCUUGCUGAUUGACGUUACCCGCAGAAGAAGCACCGGCUAACUCCGUGCCAGCAGCCGCGGUAAUACGGAGGGUGCAAGCGUUAAUCGGAAUUACUGGGCGUAAAGCGCACGCAGGCGGUCUGUUAAGUCAGAUGUGAAAUCCCCGGGCUUAACCUGGGAACUGCAUUUGAAACUGGCAGGCUUGAGUCUCGUAGAGGGGGGUAGAAUUCCAGGUGUAGCGGUGAAAUGCGUAGAGAUCUGGAGGAAUACCGGUGGCGAAGGCGGCCCCCUGGACGAAGACUGACGCUCAGGUGCGAAAGCGUGGGG
rnacentral:rRNA from 1 species